ensembl:snRNA U6 U6 spliceosomal RNA
GCGCUUACUUAAGCUACGAAUAUACUUGAAUCAGAAUGAUGCAGAAGAGAUUAGGAUGAUCCUUGCACAAGGAUGACAAGCAAAUUCAUGAAGCAUUCUGCAUUUCU